UGAUGACGAGUGGCGGACGGGUGAGUAAUGCAUGGGAAUCUGCCUUUUGCUGGGGGAUAACGUAGGGAAACUUACGCUAAUACCGCAUAAGACCUGAGGGUGAAAGCGGGGGACCGAAAGGCCUCGCGGCGAGAGAUGAGCCCAUGCUGGAUUAGCUAGUUGGUGGGGUAAAGGCUUACCAAGGCGACGAUCCAUAGCUGGUCUGAGAGGAUGAUCAGCCACACUGGGACUGAGACACGGCCCAGACUCC
rnacentral:rRNA from 1 species